GGGCGAGUGGCGGAACUGGCAGACGCGCACGGUUUAGGGCCGUGUUCCGAAAGGAGUGUGGGUUCGACCCCCACCUCGCCCACCA
rnacentral:tRNA from 1 species